UACGUAGGGGGCGAGCGUUGUCCGGAUUCAUUGGGCGUAAAGAGCUCGUAGGCGGUUCGGCAAGUCGGGUGUGAAAACUCCAGGCUCAACCUGUAGACGCCACCCGAUACUGCUGUGACUCGAGUCCGGUAGGGGACCACGGAAUUCCUGGUGUAGCGGUGAAAUGCGCAGAUAUCAGGAGGAACACCGGUGGCGAAGGCGGUGGUCUGGGCCGGCACUGACGCUGAGGAGCGAAAGCGUGGGGAGCGAACAGG
rnacentral:rRNA from 1 species